UCUUCUCGGUCAUGGAUUCGACAAUCAAAUCGGGCCUGCCAAACCGCGCAUGUAAGGUCGCCAUAGCCUCCUUCAACCCGCUGGGGAAUGACAGGAGGUGUCCUACUGCCUCGAGCGCCGCACCUCUCAACGCCUGUUGCAGCCGCCUGGGAGCCCUACAAAGUUUCCAACGGACGCGGAAGCCGGACGGGGACAGUGGGAAGUGCGAAGAGCUCGUUUUCCACUGUCACAGACGGGUACAAAAAUGCGUGUACGGAAUGGAGGGAAGCAUGCAAUUGGUAAUACAGAAAGGAAACGCUUGGAAAUUUUUUUUAUAACAUCACUGAUGCCAAAGAGAUGAUGUGAGUUAAAGAGCAAGCAUAAGAAUAAAGCAUGUCAAGCGGUGAGGUAUGUGGUGAGACAGAGGAAUGUGUGGAAACAUUCCCUCGCUAUGAGGAUAGACCAAAAUCGCGGACAGCCUCGAGAAAGUUUUCCGCAAAUGUAAAAAUAGAAGAUCCAGGAAAAAUAACAGAACUUUCACAAAGUUUUUACGUCGUAAAGGGAAACCAACAAUCACUAGUAGGUAAAGAUAAAAGAAGUAAGAGUUGAAAUACCCAUAGACAGACCGGGUGUCUAUAGGCGAACGGGUGUCUCCUUUAGUUCCAAUCUUUACGAACAAUGGUGAUUUGCGCCUAUGUGUAGAUAUGCGUAGAGCAAAGAAGGCCAUCAUGAGUGAGCAACACUUCACCACGGCUAAAAUAUUCUCUCGUUUGGACUUUAAGGAAGCCCAAACCUCCUUAAUUCUCUAUACCUUUUCCAUCAGGUAUAACUGCACGAGAAUAGCAAAAAUAUAAAAGAUAUAAAAAGGUAUAAAAGAUUGUUAUUUGGAAUUGUAGCUACGCCGGGAAAUUUCCAGUGUAUUAUGGAACACAAUUUGGCCAAAUUUAAUAGAAACGUUGUGAAUUGUAUUGACGACAUAAUAAACCACCAUACACCAUACGA